rnacentral:rRNA from 1 species
UAGUCCACGCCGUAAACGAUGGAUACUAGCUGUCCGGCGCACAUUGGUGUGCUGGGUGGCCAAGCGAAAGUGAUAAGUAUCCCACCUGGGGAGUACGUUCGCAAGAAUGAAACUCAAAGGAAUUGACGGGGGCCCGCACAAGCGGUGGAGCAUGUGGUUUAAUUCGAUGAUACGCGAGGAACCUUACCAGGGCUUAAAUGUAGUCUGACAGGGGUGGAAACACCCCCUUCUUCGGACAGACUGCAAGGUGCUGCAUGGUUGUCGUCAGCUCGUGCCGUGAGGUGUCAGGUUAAGUCCUAUAACGAGCGCAACCCCUGUCGUUAGUUGCCAGCAUGUAAAGAUGGGAACUCUAACGAGACUGCCGGUGCAAACCGUGAGGAAGGUGGGGAUGACGUCAAAUCAUCACGGCCCUUACGUCCUGGGCCACACACGUGCUACAAUGGCAGGUACAAUGGGCAGCCACGCCGCAAGGCGGAGCGAAUCCACAAAACCUGUCUCAGUUCGGAUC